rnacentral:rRNA from 1 species
UCUAAAAAUUUCACAACCUAUUUCUAACCCAUAAAUUAUACUGAAUGAUCUCAUAACCAUAUGAGAGCCUAUAUGUUAGAACUAGUAACAAGAAGACAACCCUUCUCCAAAAUGUAAGCGAUAAGCCAAAAUGAACAAUUCAUUGGCACUUAAAGUUAAUAAAUCACCAGUAGCAACUCAACAAGAAAACUCUACUAACUGCAACGUCAACCUUACACUAGUACAUUUCUGGAAAGAUUAAAAGAAUGGGAAGGAACUCGGCAAACUAUUAACCCCGCCUGUUUACCAAAAACAUCGCCUCUUGCCACCCAUAAGAGGUCCAGCCUGCCCAGUGACCAAGUUAAACGGCCGCGGUACCCUAACCGUGCAAAGGUAGCGCAAUCACUUGUUCUUUAAAUGAGGACUAGUAUGAACGGCAUCACGAGGGUUAUGCUGUCUCCCCACUCUAUUCAGUGAAACUGAUCUCCCCGUGAAGAAGCGGGGAUAAAAAUAUAAGACGAGAAGACCCCAUGGAGCUUUAAACUCAGUAUCAACUGCUUUACAAAUUAACCUAACAUUUAUGCAACUCUGAUUACUAGUUUUCGGUUGGGGUGACCACGGAGUAUAAAACAACCUCCACGACGAAAGGAAGUAACAACCUAAAUCAAGAGUUACAACUCUAAAUAUCAACAAAUUGACUAAAUUGAUCCAAUAAAUUGAUCAACGAACCAAGUUACCCUGGGGAUAACAGCGCAAUCCAUUUCAAGAGCUCAUAUCGACAAAUGGGUUUACGACCUCGAUGUUGGAUCAGGGUACCCCAGUGGCGCAGCCGCUACUAACGGUUCG